CUCCAUGAAGUCGGAAUCGCUAGUAAUCGUAGAUCAGAAUGCUACGGUGAAUACGUUCCCGGGCCUUGUACACACCGCCCGUCACACCAUGGGAGUGGGCUGCAAAAGAAGUGGGUAGUUUAACCUUUCGGGGAGGACGCUCACCACUUUGUGGUUCAUGACUGGGGUGAAGUCGUAACAAGGUAGCCCUAGGGGAACCUGGGGCUGGAUCACCUCCUUAUACGAAGAUA
rnacentral:rRNA from 1 species